rnacentral:rRNA from 1 species
UACAGAGGGUGCAAGCGUUGUUCGGAAUCAUUGGGCGUAAAGGGCGUGUAGGCGGUUUUGUUAAGUCAUGUGUGAAAUCCCUCGGCUCAACCGGGGAACGACCGCAUGAAACUGGCAAGCUAGGAGUACCAAAGAGGGGGGUGGAAGUUCCCGGUGUAGCGGUGAAAUGCGUAGAUAAUCGGGAGGAACACCUGUGGCGAAGGCGGCUUCCUGGUCCAGCACCGACGUUCAGGCACGAAAGCGUGGGGGAGCAAACAGGGAUUAAGAAACCCG